rnacentral:rRNA from 1 species
GACAUGCAGAGAACUUUCCAGAGAUGGAUUGGUGCCUCGGGAACUCUGACACAGGUGCUGCAUGGCUGUCGUCAGCUCGUGUCGUGAGAUGUUGGGUUAAGUCCCGUAACGAGCGCAACCCUUGUCCUUAGUUACCAGCACGUUAUGGUGGGCACUCUAAGGAGACUGCCGGUGACAAACCGGAGGAAGGCGGGGAUGACGUCAAAUCAGCACGGCCCUUACGUCCAGGGCUACACACGUGCUACAAUGGCCGAUACAGAGGGCAGCUACCUGGUGACAGGAUGCAAAUCUCCAAAGUCGGUCUCAGUUCGGAUCGGAGUCUGCAACCCGACUCCGUGAAGUUGGAUUCGCUAGUAAUCGCGCAUCAGCCAUGGCGCGGUGAAUACGUUCCCGGGCCUU